rnacentral:rRNA from 1 species
CACGUAGGGCGCAAGCGUUGUCCGGAAUUAUUGGGCGUAAAGAGCUCGUAGGUGGUUUGUUACGUCUGCUGUGAAAACCUAGGGCUUAACCCUGGGCUUGCAGUGGAUACGGGCAGACUAGAGGUAGGUAGGGGAGAAUGGAAUUCCUGGUGUAGCGGUGAAAUGCGCAGAUAUCGGGAGGAACACCAAUGGCGAAGGCAGCUCGCUGGGACGUGUACUGACGCUCAUGCACGAAAGCGUGGGGAGCAAACAGG